AAGAGCUCAAAGUUGGAAACUGUUUGGCUUAGCUAAACCGUAUUGUAAACUGUAGAAACAUUUUCCUGGCACACCAGAUUAAUAAGUCCUUUGGAACAAGGCAUCAUGGAGGGUGAGAAUCCCGUCUUUGAUCUGAGUAGUUGUCUUUUGUGAUAUGUUUUCAAAGAGUCAGGUUGUUUGGGAAUGCAGCCUAAAUUGGGUGGUAAAUCUCACCUAAAGCUAAAUAUCUGCGAGAGACCGAUAGCGAACAAGUACCGUGAGGGAAAGAUGAAAAGAACUUUGAAAAGAGAGUUAAACAGUAUGUGAAAUUGUUAAAAGGGAACCGUUUGGAGCCAGACUGGUUUGACUGUAAUCAACCUAGAAUUCGUUUUGGGUGCACUUGCAGUCUAUACCUGCCAACAACAGUUUGAUUUGGAGGAAAAAAUUAGUAGGAAUGUGGCCUCUCGAGGUGUUAUAGCCUAUUAUCAUACUCUGGAUUGGACUGAGGAACGCAGCGAAUGCCUUUAGGCGAGAUUGCUGGGUGCUUUCGCUAAUAAAUGUUAGAAUUUCUGCUUCGGGUGGUGCUAAUGUUUAAAGGAGGAACACAUCUAGUAUAUUU
rnacentral:rRNA from 1 species